AGCAGAUGGGCAGUGGGUAAGCUGCAUUAAGUUAUAAGUGUGGGUAUUUGCUGCAUCAACUUAGGAGUGGACUGCAACCCACUGGUAGAACUGAUGCUGUGUCUGCAGAAGCUCCCUGGUACAGUCCGUGAAGUUUCCUUUUGAAGACUCUGGGGAGAGAUGCUGCCGCCCGUGAAGGUGUUCCGUCCUGGACUGGAAUAAGGCUUAUUUCUUCCUGCACUCCUGUCUGCUUGUAAAGCAGGGCAGCCACAUUUCCCUUUGCAUUUAUCCGAAUGGAAAACAAGUAAAUGCCAGCCUCACUCUAAAACCUGUCAGUUCCUUUCAACGUGGGAAAUGGAGCUUGGGCACCCAUGCGCAAAGGGGAAGAUCUUUUGGGAAAUGAGGCUGUAAUUCUGCACAAACCAACCCAUGCCAUGCCACUCAUGCUGACUGGGGCUUCUUUGCCACAGAAGUCUCCCUCACCUACAUAUAGCGGGCGGCCUCAUACAUUUCAAGGAGAGGAAGCCUGUGCAUACAUUCUGCGGUAAGGAAGUGAAUAAAGAACAGAUGGACUGGGAAUGUUCUCAUAGCCUGGAAGGAAACUGGUGAUCUGAUGGAAACCUAACAGAUGCAGAAGUGAUAAAACAAAAACUAAGAUAAUGUGAACAAGGAAGAAGGCAGCUCAGCAGGGCUCCAUGGAGGGGGCAAAACGUCCUUCCCGGAAAUAUUGGGCUGCAUCCAGGCACUAUCGGUGGGCAUCUGUGUGUGACAUCUCUUGCCUUGAGCUUGACAUCUCUGUUACAACAAGUAUUGCAGACAGUUGAAUUUCCUUUUAGU